GAUGAACGCUGGCGGCGUGCCUAAUACAUGCAAGUCGAGCGAACAGACGGGGAGCUUGCUCCGCUUACGUUAGCGGCGGACGGGUGAGUAACACGUGUAUAACCUACCUAUAAGACUGAGAUAACUUCGGGAAACCGGAUCUAAUACCGGUUAAGAUAUUGAACCUCAUGGUUCAAUAGUGAAAGACGGUUUUGCUGUCACUUAUAGAUGUAUCCUCGCCGCAUUAGCUAGUUGGUAAGGUAACGGCUUACCAAGGCAACGAUGCGUAGCCGACCUGAGAGGGUGAUCAGCCACACUGGAACUGAGACACGGUCCAGACUCCUACGGGAGGCAGCAGUAGGGAAUCUUGCGCAAUGGGCGAAAGCCUGAUGCAGCCAUGCCGCGUGAGUGAUGAAGGUCUUCGGAUCGUAAAACACUGUUAUUAGGGAAGAACAAAUGUGUAAGUAAAUAUGCAUGUCUUGACGGUACCUACUCAGAAAGCACCGGCUAACUACGUG
rnacentral:rRNA from 1 species